GACGAACCGUGCGAACGUUGUUCGGAUUCACUGGGCUUAAAGGGCGCGUAGGCGGGCGGUCAAGUCGGGGGGUGAAAUCUUUCAGCUUAACUGGAAAAGUGCCUCCGAUACUGAUCGCCUCGAGGGAGGUAGGGGCAUGUGGAACUUCCGGUGGAGCGGUGAAAUGCGUAGAUAUCGGAAGGAACGCCGGUGGCGAAAGCGCGGUCCUGGACGCCAUCUGACGCUGAGAGACGAAAGCUAGGGGAGCGAAUGGG
rnacentral:rRNA from 1 species